rnacentral:rRNA from 2 species
AGCGAACGCUGGCGGCAGGCUUAACACAUGCAAGUCGAGCGGGCGUAGCAAUACGUCAGCGGCAGACGGGUGAGUAACGCGUGGGAACGUACCUUUUGGUUCGGAACAACACAGGGAAACUUGUGCUAAUACCGGAUAAGCCCUUACGGGGAAAGAUUUAUCGCCGAAAGAUCGGCCCGCGUCUGAUUAGCUAGUUGGUAGGGUAACGGCCUACCAAGGCGACGAUCAGUAGCUGGUCUGAGAGGAUGAUCAGCCACAUUGGGACUGAGACACGGCCCAAACUCCUACGGGAGGCAGCAGUGGGGAAUAUUGGACAAUGGGGGCAACCCUGAUCCAGCCAUGCCGCGUGAGUGAUGAAGGCCCUAGGGUUGUAAAGCUCUUUUGUGCGGGAAGAUAAUGA